rnacentral:rRNA from 1 species
UACGUAGGGUGCAGGCGUUAAUCGGAAUUACUAGGGCGUAAACGUGCGCAGGCGGUCUGCUAAGAAGAGGCGUGAAAUCCCCGGGCUUAACCUGGGAACUGCGACUUCCGUAAACUGGCAGGCUUGAGUGGUGGGCAGAGGGGGGUGGAAUUCCACGUGUAGCAGUGAAAUGCGUAGAGAUGUGGAGGAACACCGAUGGCGAAGGCAGCCCCCUGGGCUAACACUGACGCUCAUGCACGAAAGCGUGGGGAGCAAACAGG